UACGUAGGGGGCAAGCGUUGUCCGGAAUUAUUGGGCGUAAAGAGCGCGUAGGCGGUCCGGUAAGUCGGUUGUGAAAGUCGGGGGCUCAACCCUCGGAUGCCGAUCGAUACUGUCGGGCUAGGAGUCCGGAAGAGGCGAGUGGGAAUUCCUGGUGUAGCGGUGAAAUGCGCAGAUAUCAGGAGGAACACCAAUGGCGAAGGCAGCUCGCUGGGACGGUACUGACGCUGAGGGACGAAAGCUAGGGGAGCGAACAGG
rnacentral:rRNA from 1 species